CAUCCCUUUGAAUUUGUUAACGUUGCCCUUGGAUCAACUAGGCUGUCAUUGAAAAACAUAUAUAGAAAUAAUAAGUGAAUUGUUCCUCUAGGUUCAUUCCUACAUGGCCUGGGAAGAAACCUGAAGAGCUUGGGCAUGGUGGAAUACAGUGGAACGUGGCUUCACCGAGAGCCAGGAACGCGACGAGCGGGUGCCGCCCGACACGGACCUUGUGCAUGUUUGCUGCUCGCACGCUGCCACACUCGGUGCUGGUCUCCAUCAGGGGCCGGGGAGAAACUACAGGACACGGGCGUGCUGAGAGGCAUGACGCAGCGGGAAGAGACGCGAGGGAAGCAGCAGCAGAAUGAAGUAUCUGAGAUGCAGGAUGAUUCCCGCAGGCAAGGAAGACACAGGUGUGGCCGACAGUGCAGUGUGCUGUCUAUGUCACAACUGAAAUAAACGCAAACUUUCAGUUCAAAGUUAGUAAAAAUAAUAAUGCAUUUUUUCCUAUCCAAGUUCCUAAGACCCCCUAGUUUUAGGGUGCAAAGAGGAGAGUGAGGGACUAAGACAGGGUGAGUGACAAGAUCAUUGGAGGAACACAGACUGAGAGGCUGAGGUACGGGCGAAAGCAUGUAGUCGGACAGUGGAAUCUAAGAAUUCCGAAACAGCGGUCCUAGAGAAUGUGACAGGGAGCUGGGAGCUACCACUCCGGCGUCUGCCUGAGCCAGGGCCAUCUCAGCCCAGGAGUCCCCACUGCGUGGGGCAGCAACUUCUAAUUCUGGACAGUUACAAUUAUAGGAACCUUCCUCCUUAUUCUGAGUUCAUCUCUACCACCUAAUACUCACCAAACUGCUCUUUGUCCACUCCUUUAGAAAUAUGUAUAAUGAAGCUAAUCUCUCUGACUUAGAACAGUUCUUAAAACAACUGAAGACAGUCACAAGUGUCUUCUUUUCCAGGAAGGACAUUGAGCAUCAGGUCUUUCAAGCGUUCCUUACACAACGUUGUUUCCAGGAGUCUCACUAUCUUCACUGCUCAGGUUGGGAUACACCUGAUGCGUUAAAAUCCUUGGGAUGACAGAGUUAGUGGCUCAGUUUUCUGACUUCCCUUCUGCUGUUCAAAUCACCAUGGUAAUCAAUAAAUACUUCAUUUGCCAUGGUGGGUGUGGGCACAGCAUCGUUAUUGAGCAACAGCAAAACAUUAUACAAGUUUUACAAAGAGGUUUCUCCCUCACAGUCUGGAGCCUUCUGCUAGCCCUACAUCCAUGGUGAUUAACAUUACGGCAAUGGAAUUAUUGACAAGAAAGAGCACUACAGUGUUAAUGUUCCUAACAUGGCAGAAAAGACUAUGAAUUAACACAUCAAAAGGAGUACUUACAAGAAUA